rnacentral:lncRNA from 1 species
CAAUGCAAAACGACUCAUUUAUGUCUUCAGUACAUCUCUUGAUCUUGUUCUUGUCUCUUCUGUACUUGGACUCUACUUUGGUCCGUUAGCCAUUCUUGUCUUGCUUGUUCAAUGAUAUGACUUCGCAAUUUGUUAACUUUGCUUUCAUGUUCGAUUUUUCAUUCAUCAAAACUACAAGAACGAACACGACUUUUAACGAUAAUGAAAGUGUGUUUCAAUAAUAACUUACGACGAUUUGGCAUUUGUCAACUUUGCAUCCACUCGGUUUGUCAUUUAUCAAAACCUACAAAAAUGAACACAACUUUAGUUUAAUGUCUUUGAGAGUGUGUUCCAACAGGGCAGACCCGUUAUCCACCGAGUUUCGAAGGCUGCAGUUGGUCCAAAAGAUCGGCCCCAGACGGAUUUCUUGGUCAUCGGAAAAAAGAUCUUAUCUGUGGGGUUGUUGAAACCUAUAGUUGUUCAUGCCAAAAGGAUUCCCUAAUGAGCUUUCGUCGAGGAACGUCUUUAUCAGAAUAUUUUUGCUUCUCACUUUGGUCAAUUCAGUAAAAUGGUUAUAACGAUGAUACAUCAGCAUUAGCAACGUUAUGGUCAAUACAAACUUUUUUUCUUUCGACAGUAGUGUUUGGACUAGCUUGUACACCUCUUCUAAUACUCCGAGUAUCUGCUACCUCCCACAACCAAAGAUAUAAGAUAAAUCUAACUACCAAGGGUUAACAAAUGGAAGAAAUCACCUAACAUUUUUUGCCUCUGCUGGGAUUUGAAUCCUGAUCUCUACUGCAUAUUACAACUUAAUUGAACGUUAGGCCACCCCUUGGUAUUGGUCAGUACAAAGACGCAUGCAUAUAUAUUGCAUAAAACUUAAGAGGAUAUCAAUGAUUAAGACUUAUGUUUCCAUAGGGAGAAUAUCAAGCUAAAGUAUGAGCCUUGUCCCUCAAUAAAAAUGUUUAAGACUUUGGAUGUCUUUCCUAGCCAGUGAAGCCAAAAAGAAAUCUUUUUUAUACUUUCUUUGACAUGUUGAAACAACAAUUUUUAGGAGCCACACUAAGAUUUGCAUUCUUUUCUUACCCAAUUCAAAAAGGCAAGUAAUAUAAUAGAAAGGGAAGGGUAAAACAAGUAACUCUCCCUCCUAACAUACAUUUAAAAUUAGCUGAAUCACAGUAGUUACAAGAGGAUGACAAUGCAGCUUCAAAAACUGCAGGAUGCUAAAUGUCAUAGAAUGCUUAGCACAUUCACAAAUCCAUUAUUGACAAAUACAUUAUUUAACGAUCAAGUCCAUGCUAAACAUUUUUCUCCAAAUCAAACCAAGCAGAAAAACAAUAGCACACGAACAAAUUGCUGCAUAAUGUUUAGAAAUCAACUUCAUUCACAGUAACUAAUAUAACUACAGUUUAACAACGAAGAACCCUCUGAUUUUGAGACUUAAAUAGAAUGAAAUAUACAAGAUGAUUUGUAUAGUCAUCUCAACUAGUAUGGGAUUAAAGUGCAAUUGAUUGGUAAAAAUACUAGUAAUACCAAAAGGCACAAAUCUACUCUAAGGUAUAGAAGAAUUAUAGCACGACAUACAUCGAAUAUGGCCAUGAAAUCAUUAUUGACGAAAGACAAAGGAAUAAUCCCAGGAUAAGUAUUUAAUAAAUACUUAGACAUGACAAGAUAAAAGUUUUGAUUCUACCACAUAUUUUAUGAAUUGGACAGACAAGCAAAGCAUUAGCAAAAUUCUAUAGCAAAAGAGAGUUUUUGAUAUUAACAGUGAGAAGAAAAAGAAAUUUACAGGUGUCCCGCACAAGCUAGGAGAGUAUAUACCAUUUAUAAACUGAAACUUUAACCUUAGGUCACAUAACCAAAUACGCAAAAUGGAUUUGAUGUGGGGUUGUUGAAACGUAUAACUCUUCAUGCCAACAGGAUUCUCCAAUGAGUUUUCAUCCAGUAAAAUGGUUAUAAUGAGGAUAAAUCAGCAUUAGCUACAAAAGACAAAUUUCUUACAACAGUAGUGUUGGGAAUCGCUUGUACACCUCUUCCAUCCCUCCGGGUAUCCGCUACCUCCCACCACAAAAGAUAUAGGAUAAGUCUAACUACCAAUGCUUAACAAACGGAAGAAAUAACCCUAACAUUUUUUUUCUUCUGUUGGGAUUUGAACCCUGAUCGCUAUCGUCCAUUACAACUUCAUUGAAUGUUAGGCCACCCCUUGGGUGCUGGUCAGUAAAAGAGGCAUGCAUAUAUACUUCAUAAAACUUAAGACGCCAUCAAUGAUUAAGACUUAUGUUUCCCUCAAUAAACAUGUUUAAAUGAGACUUUGGAUUAUCCCCCACCCCACCUCACCCCCCACAAAAGUGAAGCCAAAAGGAAUCUCCUUUUUACUUUCUUUGUUAUAUUGAAACUUGAAGCUGCAUUACAUGUCAUAGAAUGCUUAGCACAUUACAAAUCCAUUACUGACAAAAUACAGUAUCCACCAUCAAGUCCACACUAAACGCUUUUUCUCCAAAUCAAAUCAAGCAGGAAAAAAGAAGCAAAUCAUGAAAAUUGUUGCUGCAUAACAUUUAGAAAUCAACUUCAUUCACAGUAGCUAAGAAAGUCCAAUAUUUAACAAUUGUCACAAUCCCGGAUGCCAUUUUAUGCAGCCUAAUUCCCAUUGUUAGCUUACCCAUCAACUACAAGUAAUCAGAUAAUGCUUCCUACAAAUAGAAUUCCUUUAUUAACAAACCAUAAAGCUCGCUAACAAAACCUUUUCUUCAUAUCAAAUUAAGCAGAACAAAAAUAGCAACUUUGCUGACAAGACAGCAAUAUUUGACAAAUCAAGAUACAAAGUCUGUGAAAGAUGAAAAGAAAAAUACUCAAAAGGGUGAAGAAAGUAAUGUCCUUUUUUCCUAACAUUUUUAUUUAAUUUUCAGCAGCCAAAGAAAUUAAUAAAUUGAUGUAAAGGGGCAAAAGAAACUUACAUUUAAAAGGUCGUUCAUGGUAAUGGAGACGGAGGAGAGAUCUUUUUUUGGCUCUCUCUCUCUUUCAGGUUUUGCGUCAGUGAGAAUUUUAGAGAGAGAAAUAACAGAGAGAAUGUGCUUUGCUGUUGUCCUGUCGAAACAGCUUGUGUGACAAAGGAGAUAGAGAGAGACGGUGUUAAGGAAGUACUUUUCCUUAUUA